rnacentral:tRNA from 1 species
UCUUCAGUAUCGCAAUGGGUGAGCGCGCGGUACUUAUGAUGCCGAGGUUGUGAGUUCGAUCCUCACUUGGGGAA